UACGGGGGGGGCAAGCGUUGUUCGGAAUUACUGGGCGUAAAGGGCUCGUAGGCGGACCUGCAAGUCGGGGGUGAAAGCCCGAGGCUCAACCUCGGAACUGCCUUCGAUACUGCGGGUCUCGAGUCCGGGAGAGGUGAGUGGAAUUCCUAGUGUAGAGGUGAAAUUCGUAGAUAUUAGGAAGAACACCAGUGGCGAAGGCGGCUCACUGGCCCGGUACUGACGCUGAGGCGCGAAAGCGUGGGGAGCAAACAGG
rnacentral:rRNA from 1 species